CCUACGGGUGGCAGCAGUGGGGAAUAUUGCGCAAUGGGCGAAAGCCUGACGCAGCGACGCCGCGUGAGGGAUGAAGGUCUUCGGAUCGUAAACCUCUGUCAGCAGGGAAGAACGGUCACUGUGCUAAUCAGCAGUGAAUUGACGGUACCUGCAAAGGAAGCACCGGCUAACUCCGUGCCAGCAGCCGCGGUAAUACGGAGGGUGCGAGCGUUAAUCGGAAUUACUGGGCGUAAAGCGCUCGUAGGCGGUAUGUCAAGUCAAGGGUGAAAUCCCCGCGCUCAACGUGGGAACUGCCUUUGAAUCUGGAAAACUGGAUGGUGUGAGAGGAUAGUGGAAUUCCAGGUGUAGGAGGGAAAUCGGUAGAUAGCUG
rnacentral:rRNA from 1 species